CUGCUCUUCAUCCUCACCUUCCAACACAUCAUCAUCAUCUCUCUGACUCUCUGAGCAUUCUGGGUCAUUUGGACUCAGAAUCUUAUGGAUCUUCUUCAGCUCGUUCUUCAGAAAAGUGACAAUGUUGUCCUCCAGCACCAUAAAUAUGGAGUCCAGCUGUGUUUGAUGCUGCUGGGCAGACGGACAACUAGGAACCUCUGAGCUCUGCUGGUCCACUCUGUGGAGGAACCAGGAACAAUUAGGAAGUCAAGAAAUAUUCAUCCAGCAGUAUUCAGAAAUGAAAUCACCAAAACUUUCACAUUAAAUGUACUUGAAGCAGAAAAACAGAGGAUCAUAUGAACAAAAUGGAGUGAAGUUAAAAAGAGGAAGAUGAACUACAAGGAUGAAGAGCAGUAACACCAAAAUCACCUAG